GGUCAAGCGAACAAGUGCAUGUGGUGGAUGCCUUGGCGAUCACAGGCGAUGAAGGACGCGGUAGCCUGCGAAAAGCCCCGGGGAGCUGGCAAACAAGCUUUGAUCCGGGGAUGUCCGAAUGGGGAAACCCACUCCGUAUGGAGUAUCCAUGACUGAAUACAUAGGUCAUGUGAAGCGAACGCGGUGAACUGAAACAUCUAAGUAACCGCAGGAACAGAAAUCAACCGAGAUUCCCAAAGUAGUGGCGAGCGAAAUGGGAUGAGCCUUGUACUCUUUAUUCGUAUUGUUAGCCGAACGCUCUGGAAAGUGCGGCCAUAGCAGGUGAUAGCCCUGUAGGCGAAAACAGUAUGAAAGAACUAGGUGUACGACAAGUAGGGCGGGACACGUGAAAUCCUGUCUGAAGAUGGGGGGACCAUCCUCCAAGGCUAAAUACUCGUGAUCGACCGAUAGUGAACCAGUACCGUGAGGGAAAGGCGAAAAGAACCCCGGGAGGGGAGUGAAAUAGAUCCUGAAACCGCAUGCAUACAAACAGUCGGAGCCUCGUAAGGGGUGACGGCGUACCUUUUGUAUAAUGGGUCAGCGACUUACGUUCAGUAGCAAGCUUAACCGUAUAGGGCAGGCGUAGCGAAAGCGAGUCCGAAUAGGGCGUUCAGUUGCUGGGCGUAGACCCGAAACCAGGUGAUCUAUCCAUGGCCAGGAUGAAGGUGCGGUAACACGUACUGGAGGUCCGAACCCACUAACGUUGAAAAGUUAGGGGAUGAGCUGUGGAUAGGGGUGAAAGGCUAAACAAACCUGGAAAUAGCUGGUUCUCUCCGAAAACUAUUUAGGUAGUGCCUCGUGUCUCACCUUCGGGGGUAGAGCACUGUCAUGGUUGGGGGGUCUAUUGCAGAUUACCCCGCCAUAGCAAACUCCGAAUACCGAAGAGUGCAAUCACGGGAGACAGACAUCGGGUGCUAACGUCCGGUGUCAAGAGGGAAACAACCCAGACCGCCAGCUAAGGUCCCCAAAUAUGGCUAAGUGGGAAACGAAGUGGGAAGGCUAAAACAGUCAGGAGGUUGGCUUAGAAGCAGCCACCCUUUAAAGAAAGCGUAAUAGCUCACUGAUCGAGUCGUCCUGCGCGGAAGAUGUAACGGGGCUAAGCCAUAUACCGAAGCUGCGGAUGCGUGCUUGCACGCAUGGUAGGAGAGCGUUCCGUAAGCCUGCGAAGGUGCCUUGUAAAGGGUGCUGGAGGUAUCGGAAGUGCGAAUGCUGACAUGAGUAGCGAUAAAGGGGGUGAAAGGCCCCCUCGCCGUAAGCCCAAGGUUUCCUACGCAACGUUCAUCGGCGUAGGGUGAGUCGGCCCCUAAGGCGAGGCAGAAAUGCGUAGCUGAUGGGAAGCAGGUCAAUAUUCCUGCACCAUUGUUAGAUGCGAUGGGGGGACGGAUCGCGGAAGGUUGUCCGGGUGUUGGACGUCCCGGUCGCUGCAUUGGAGAAGGCGCUUAGGCAAAUCCGGGCGCGGAAUUCAAGGGUGUGGCGCGAGCUCCUUAGGGAGCGAAGCAAUUGGAAGUGGUUCCAAGAAAAGCCUCUAAGCUUCAGUCUAACGAUGACCGUACCGCAAACCGACACAGGUGGGCGAGAUGAGUAUUCUAAGGCGCUUGAGAGAACUCGGGAGAAGGAACUCGGCAAAUUGGUACCGUAACUUCGGGAUAAGGUACGCCCUUGUAGCUUGACUGGCCUGCGCCAGGAGGGUGAAGGGGUUGCAAUAAACUGGUGGCUGCGACUGUUUAAUAAAAACACAGCACUCUGCAAACACGAAAGUGGACGUAUAGGGUGUGACGCCUGCCCGGUGCCGGAAGAUUAAAUGAUGGGGUGCAAGCUCUUGAUUGAAGUCCCGGUAAACGGCGGCCGUAACUAUAACGGUCCUAAGGUAGCGAAAUUCCUUGUCGGGUAAGUUCCGACCUGCACGAAUGGCGUAACGAUGGCCACACUGUCUCCUCCCGAGACUCAGCGAAGUUGAAGUGUUUGUGAUGAUGCAAUCUACCCGCGGCUAGACGGAAAGACCCCAUGAACCUUUACUGUAGCUUUGCAUUGGACUUUGAACCGAUCUGUGUAGGAUAGGUGGGAGGCUAUGAAACCGGAACGCUAGUUUCGGUGGAGCCGUCCUUGAAAUACCACCCUGGUUUGUUUGAGGUUCUAACCUUGGUCCGUGAUCCGGAUCGGGGACAGUGCAUGGUAGGCAGUUUGACUGGGGCGGUCUCCUCCCAAAGGGUAACGGAGGAGUACGAAGGUACGCUAGGUACGGUCGGAAAUCGUGCUGAUAGUGCAAUGGCAUAAGCGUGCUUAACUGCGAGACCGACAAGUCGAGCAGGUGCGAAAGCAGGUCAUAGUGAUCCGGUGGUUCUGUAUGGAAGGGCCAUCGCUCAACGGAUAAAAGGUACUCUGGGGAUAACAGGCUGAUACCGCCCAAGAGUUCAUAUCGACGGCGGUGUUUGGCACCUCGAUGUCGGCUCAUCUCAUCCUGGGGCUGUAGCCGGUCCCAAGGGUAUGGCUGUUCGCCAUUUAAAGAGGUACGUGAGCUGGGUUUAAAACGUCGUGAGACAGUUUGGUCCCUAUCUGCCGUGGGCGUUGGAUAUUUGAAGGGGGCUGCUCCUAGUACGAGAGGACCGGAGUGGACGAACCUCUGGUGUACCGGUUGUGACGCCAGUCGCAUCGCCGGGUAGCUAUGUUCGGAAGAGAUAACCGCUGAAAGCAUCUAAGCGGGAAACUCGCCUUAAGAUGAGAUAUCCCUGGAGGCUUGACCUCCUUGAAGGGUCGUUCGAGACCAGGACGUUGAUAGGUCGGGUGUGUAAGCGCAGUAAUGCGUUCAGCUAACCGAUACUAAUUGCCCGUAAGGCUUGAUCCU
rnacentral:rRNA from 1 species